rnacentral:rRNA from 1 species
GACGAACGCUGGCGGCGUGCUUAACACAUGCAAGUCGAACGGAAAGGCCCUGCUUUUGUGGGGUGCUCGAGUGGCGAACGGGUGAGUAACACGUGAGUAACCUGCCCUUGACUUUGGGAUAACUUCAGGAAACGGGGGCUAAUACCGGAUAGGAGCUCCUGCUGCAUGGUGGGGGUUGGAAAGUUUCGGCGGUUGGGGAUGGACUCGCGGCUUAUCAGCUUGUUGGUGGGGUAGUGGCUUACCAAGGCUUUGCCGGGUAGCCGGCCUGAGAGGGUGACCGGCCACAUUGGGACUGAGAUACGGCCCAGACUCCUACGGGAGGCAGCAGUGGGGAAUAUUGCACAAUGGGCGGAAGCCUGAUGCAGCAACGCCGCGUGCGGGAUGACGGCCUUCGGGUUGUAAACCGCUUUCGCCUGUGACGAAGCGUGAGUGACGGUAAUGGGUAAAGAAGCACCGGCUAACUACGUG